GCCUUGUUAGCUUAGUUGGUAGAGCACCCGCUUAGUAAGCGGGAGGUCGUCGGUUCAACUCCGGCAGAAGGCU
rnacentral:tRNA from 1 species